UACCAGCACCCCGAGUGGUCGGGACGAUUAUUGGGCCUAAAGCAUCCGUAGCCGGUCCUACAAGUCUUCCGUUAAAUCCACCUGCUCAACAGAUGGGCUGCGGAAGAUACUAUAGGGCUAGGAGGCGGGAGAGGCAAGCGGUACUCAGUGGGUAGGGGUAAAAUCCUCUGAUUCAUUGAAGACCACCAGUGGCGAAGGCGGCUUGCCAGAACGCGCUCGACGGUGAGGGAUGAAAGCUGGGGGAGCAAACCGG
rnacentral:rRNA from 1 species